rnacentral:rRNA from 1 species
UGGGGAAUAUUGCACAAUGGGCGCAAGCCUGAUGCAGCCAUGCCGCGUGUAUGAAGAAGGCCUUCGGGUUGUAAAGUACUUUCAGUCGGGAGGAAGGUGUCAAGGUUAAUAACCUUGGCAAUUGACGUUACCGACAGAAGAAGCACCGGCUAACUCCGUGCCAGCAGCCGCGGUAAUACGGAGGGUGCAAGCGUUAAUCGGAAUUACUGGGCGUAAAGCGCACGCAGGCGGUUGAUUGAGUCAGAUGUGAAAUCCCCGGGCUUAACCCGGGAAUUGCAUCUGAUACUGGUCAGCUAGAGUCUUGUAGAGGGGGGUAGAAUUCUAUGUGUAGCGGUGAAAUGCGUAGAGAUGUGGAGGAAUACCGGUGGCGAAGGCGGCCCCCUGGACAAAGACUGACGCUCAGGUGCGAAAGCGGGGGGAGCAAACAGG